CUUCAGCGAGGAGAACAGUCCGAAAUGGCGGGGACUGUUGGUCUCGGCCCUGCGGAAGGUUCAGGAACAAGUGCAUCCCACUCUCUCAGCUAAUGAAGAGUCUCUCUAUUAUAUUGAAGAGCUGAUUUUUCAGCUGCUUAAUAAAUUAUGCAUGGCCCAGCCAAGGACUGUUCAAGAUGUAGAGGAGCGAGUUCAGAAGACCUUUCCUCACCCAAUUGAUAAAUGGGCCAUUGCUGAUGCACAAUCUGCUAUAGAAAAACGAAAACGAAGAAAUCCUCUUUUACUGCCUGUGGACAAAAUCCAUCCUUCGUUGAAGGAAGUGUUAGGGUACAAAGUGGACUACCAUGUAUCCCUAUAUAUUGUGGCUGUACUAGAGUAUAUCUCAGCUGAUAUUUUAAAAUUGGCUGGUAAUUAUGUUUUUAAUAUCCGGCAUUAUGAAAUAUCUCAGCAGGACAUUAAAGUGUCAAUGUGUGCGGAUAAGGAUAUCGAAAAGAUUUUUAGUAACAUUUCAGAUAUACAUGAAUUGACUGUGAAACUUUUAGGUUUGAUUGAAGACACAGUUGAAAUGACUGAUGAAAGCAGUCCUCAUCCCUUAGCUGGCAGCUGUUUUGAAGAUUUGGCAGAAGUAAGUUU
rnacentral:sRNA from 1 species